CCUACGGGAGGCUGCAGUGGGGAAUAUUGGACAAUGGGGGCAACCCUGAUCCAGCCAUGCCGCGUGUGUGAAGAAGGCCCUCGGGUUGUAAAGCACUUUCAGUGAGGAAGAACGCCUGGUGGUUAAUACCCAUCAGGAAAGACAUCACUCACAGAAGAAGCACCGGCUAACUCCGUGCCAGCAGCCGCGGUAAUACGGAGGGUGCGAGCGUUAAUCGGAAUUACUGGGCGUAAAGCGCGCGUAGGUGGCUUGAUAAGCCGGUUGUGAAAGCCCCGGGCUCAACCUGGGAACGGCAUCCGGUACUGUCAAGCUAGAGUGCAGGAGAGGAAGGUAGAAUUCCCGGUGUAGCGGUGAAAUGCGUAGAGAUCGGGAGGAAUACCAGUGGCGAAGGCGGCCUUCUGGACUGACACUGACACUGAGGUGCGAAAGCGUGGGUAGCAAACAGGAUUAGAUACCCUGGUAGUC
rnacentral:rRNA from 1 species